AUUGAACGCUGGCGGCAGGCCUAACACAUGCAAGUCGAGCGGAGCGGCGGACGGGUGAGUAAUGCCUAGGAAUCUGCCUGGUAGUGGGGGAGAGCGUCAGGAAACGGGAGCUAAUACCGCAUCCUAUCAGUAGAGCCUCGGUCGGAUUAGCUAGUUGGUGGGGUAAAGGCCUACCAAGGCGACGAUCCGUAACUGGUCUGAGGGGAUGAUCAGUCACACUGGAACGGAGACACGGUCCAGACUCCUACGGGAGGCAGCAGUGGGGAAUAUUGGACAAUGGGCGAAAGCCUGAUCCAGCCAUGCCGCGUGUGUGAAGAAGGUCUUCGGAUUGUAAAGCACUUUAAGUCGGGAGGCGUUACCAACAGAAUAAGCACCGGCUAACUUCGUGCCAGCAGCCGCGGUAAUUC
rnacentral:rRNA from 1 species